rnacentral:lncRNA from 1 species
GAGAAUAUCUACUGAAUUGAUUUUGCAUCCCUCCAUCCAUCACCUUCCUCAGAACGCACCACCACCCCACUAAUUCACUGCAGUUUCUCAGCUUGCCUGACAGGUUCUGCUUCUCACUCAUCUAUCACACCUCUCUGAAAAGAAAGAAGCAGAUGCUAAACAGCACUAAAUUCACCUUCUGCUUUUCUGCCUGGCUCCGCCCUCACUUGCUCAGGAGAAGGUAAUUAGUAGCAUACAAAUGAGUGAGCUCAGGGUUGUGUUAUGGUGAAUAUUAAAGAAAAGGGCUGCUGCUGGGGUCACAGGGGCAUUUGGAGCAGAAGUGCUGCCUGCCUCAUCUGUCCCCUGCCCAGGGAGGUGCUGGGAUCACUGUCCCUAGAGGUAACUGGGGAAGCCAAUUGCCUGGCAGUGUCUGGAAAAUACAUCUUUGUUGGUCUGUGCGUGGAUAUGGCUGCCUUCAGGAUGUUUGACUGUGAGCAGGGCUUGUUUGACUCUUCUGCUUUCACAAGGAAACUUCCUGCUCAUUAAAAUCCUAAACGAGGUGAUGAGAUGGGGAGGGAGCUAACCUUGUACUGAGAUGAUGUCAAAAUGCCUCAGAAAGGCAAGGUGAGCUGUGUCCUCAGAUGACUUCUCCUAAUUUCUCCCUUCAAAUACUGGAAAAUGGGCUAGUGAUAUGUAGGGUCCCUAGUGUAUGUUCCUAAUGUUGAACUACUUCUACCAGGAAAAUGCACUGUGGUCCUUUUCAGGACAAUGCCUCCCUGAAGAUGGGAUAGUGAACAUGCAUCUGGGCUCUUCUCCAUCUCCAUAGUGUCUGUUUCUCCCAGGGCUGUGACUCUUUCUUUUAUGUUUCUGAUCUAGGAGCAAAUUUCCAAAGCCCUUUGGAUGCCUUGAAGAAAGCAGAUGAUGGCAGCAUGCUGGGUUUGGGGCACAGUCACCUGAUUGAGGACUCCCAGUGGGAGAAGCAGGAGGUGAUUUUUGCAGCACUUAUCAGGGGUAUCUGGAGGUUGAGGGUGAGAAUGAGAGCAAGGAUGAAGUCCUCAGCUGAGUGGGAGUCCUAGUCAGCAUUCUGUUCCAUGAAACUUCAGUGUGGGACAUGUGAAGUACAGAUGGAAGCUUCUGGCUUGGUUCUACUGCUUUCAUCCUAAGGUUUCAGGACAGGGGAUUAGCAUCAUUCCAGAUGCUGUUGCAGUGCUACCUACUUAUCAAGGCCUUUCUUUUACAUGUAUUUCUUUCCUUCCUUACUCAGACAUGCUACUUUUCAUUUUCUCCUCCCCAGCUGGAUCCUGUAGAUGGGACUAGUCAGGUAAUCCAACUGGGCUAAAAGUUGUUGACAUGUGAAGUAUCUCCACUGCAUGACAUUGAGCUCCAGUUAGAGAUCACUGACUCUGGGUUGGGUUGACUCUGUAAAUUCCAUCUUCCAGAACAAAAGUCUGACUUAAACUGUCAACCCUAUGCCAGCAUGGAGUCAAACAAACUUCUCUCCUUGGUUUAAAUUAAAUGAGAGAACACG